rnacentral:lncRNA from 1 species
AGUAGGGCAGAAAAAUGAUCAUUUACCUCCUAUAAUCAUCAUCAUGUCUUUAUCGUGCAACUGCCACUAAUCUUUAUUUAGCAAUAUGGUUGUCCUGUGAGAAGUCACAUGGCUUAUUGCAUUAUCAUUUAUCAACAUUGUAGGGGGUAAAACAUUUUCACUUUUACCACUUGUGGUAGGUGGGUAGGUAUCCAUUAGACCACUAUUGACUUUCUAGUGCAGCCAAUCCAUCAAACACCUUAGC